GCCUCGGCGAAUAACGACGGGGUGAUUCACGGCGAGGGCUGCGGCGUCCCGGUCACCUCCUUCAUUAGCGCCGCGGACACCCGGCCGGCGGGCAGCUCGGGGUGGCUCCCGGGGGUCUCGGGGAGGGGGCUCUCAGCUAUGAUGACACAACACAAACGAACGGAGGACCCAGCACAGCUGGUACACACUGGAGAUCGUUUAAGGAUGAUUGUGUGCUGGGUAAAUGAAUAAAAAGAAAAGCUGUACAAUGAUCCUCGUAGGAGUAGUGCAGGUCUGUGUACUGCACGUGACAGAAGGGGUGAAUUCCCACCGGACUUGUGGAGGUGAGGCUGCGAACAGGAGCAUCUUCAGGAGAUGGAGCACGCAGCGAUGACAGAAAUGAAAUUUCUUCCAACGCAAGGAUAUCCAUGGCUUCUCAUUUCCCUGCAGGUUUUUCAAGCAGCCUGAGAAGGUGAAAGGCUCCCGAGACAAAGGGUUUAAUUCUCCGCAUUUUGGCCAUGGGACAGAUCAGGAUUCCUUCCCUCUGGCAGCCACAGAAGCAAGAUACCCAGGGCAGCAAGGAGCACACAGGGCUACUCAGCAGGGUAUUUCAAAUACCUUUGUAUAAACAUGUGGACUUUUUUUUUUAACUCUUGCCAAGCCAAAUUCACAUUUAACUUGGUGCCUCUGUAAAAAACUCAGAUUUUGUGUUUGCAAAUAUUUUUUCUUAUAUUUUAAUAUAAGAAAGUAUUAUAUUUAAAAGAAUAUUAUCUUUUUUUUUUUUAAUUGAUUCUUUUCCAUUGGGAAAUACAUUGAUUUUUGCCUCCUUGGUUCUUCUGAGUCAAGCCAAAACAGUGUGGGUGUCCUACCAACCCCUCACCUGAUGUCAGCAGACCCCUGAGAAUAGCAUUUAGUGGUUCUCACCUGCCCCAGAGCCAGCAGGGAUAGCAAAAAAAAAAAAAAAAAAAAAAGGACCUUCGAGGUUUUGUAGCAUUUAUAAUACUGCUGGCUAUAAUUGUGGUUUGUUUAUUUACUUUUUAAGUUACUUGUCAUGCUGAUCUUGCUGGAAAAUGAAAACACACAGCUAUUUUAACUCGCGCUGUACCCCUGAAUGCCGCAAUAUGCUUUAAUGAUUUAUUCCCCCACCUCUUGAGGUAGUGUCCAUAUAAAAAUACAAGAUGACAGGAAACAAGCAGGUAAUACCAGAAGUUAUUCCUGGCCUGGCCAAUACAGUGAGAGCUGGUAGGAACAGUGUUCUGCCAAUCUAAUGGGUGUAGCAGUAGAAAAGGAGAUAGGACAUAUCAGCGUUCCAGGUACUGGUGCCAUAAAUAGCACCGGGGAACUCUUAAGAGGGAGUGAGGAUUGACAGAGGAAGGUACAAAGGUGGAAUAAGGAGGAAGGAAGAAUAACGUGAAUGAGAACAAGAAGCUCCCAUGCGUAUAUUAGAAAGUGCUCAAAUCACCAGCAUUCUGUGGUGGUUUAACUACCCAUAAAUCUAUGAAUUAACAGAUAUAUCGUCCAGUCCAUACAGAAAAAUAACCCUGAAGACAACUGAAAGAAGUUCCUUAUUUUGUCGUAGAUGAAAAACAGGAAGGAGAAAUUGUAGCAGAGAAGCAUCCAUCCUGGAUCCAUUUCCUGACGGCACGGGGAAGCUAAGGAUAUAUUGAAAUAAAACUCAACUUCUGAACUAGAAACUUGAAUUUGGCAAAGUAUUUACAAAACAUAGCAAUAAAAUGGUAUUUCAUAUCUGGAAAUCAAACGUGGGAAUUAAAGACUCCUAUACAAAUAAUCAGAAGAGUGGUGGUGGCACCACCACUGCUGGACAUUUAAAAUCUGUUGGACAAGAAGGAGAGGGUGAAGAAACUCCAAAAGUGCCAUGUGAAAGUAAAUGAAAGUUCUUCAGGAAAAGAAACAAGAAUCUGUGACUUUGGGGAAUGGCUGUUGCAAAAAAUGAACUUCGCAACAGAAACUGUCUGGAAAAUAAUUACAGAAAAAUACACAGAGUACAUACAAAUAUGGAGGAACAUUGGAGAGAGGAUAGUAAAAGACCACCAGAGAUCACACUCGGUCCAACCAAGGAAAAUGGCUUUGUAAAAAUGUUAGAGAAGGCAGCUGAAGCUCGUGCUGCCUGCUGGUGCUACCAGGCCCCUAGCCUUCCCAUCACUCUUGCAGGAGCCGCCGAGCCUGCGGCGGAGCGCAGCCCAUUAGCUGAGACCUGGAGCACCUCUGCCUUUUAUCGUCCCUGCUUCCUGCUGACUCCAGCAGGUUAUUUUUCACAUUAGCACAUGCAGAAGGUUACGUUCAUUUAUAUAUUUUUUUCUGUAAGGGUCUCCAGUGGGAAGCUAACCAUUAGUGAGCUCCCGUUAUAGCUCAUAUUUACUAUUUAUAAAAUUAGUACCAAAAUACUAAAUCGAAGCACAAAAGUGUUCUUGCUCAUGUGAUUUCCGAGUCUGUUGUCUACACCACUUUAGGAUUCUUCGGGUUUUUUAAUUUAAGGAUCUUCAUAUGUCCCUAAUUUAAGGCUGUUAAUUAUAUGUGUGUGUGUAUAUAUAUAUACAAGCAUAUGUUUAUAUAGACUCUAUAUGCGCACAUGUGUAUGAAACCUCUGAACAUUUUUCAAGUUAACUGUAGCACUCAAAUAAAUUGCACUCAAAUC